rnacentral:lncRNA from 1 species
GCGCGACGUCCCCUUAUUGGACUUGAGCUGCGGCCGCAGGCACGUGACACAGCCCCACCCCCAGCAGCUUCCCAGGGACCACUGGGGCAUGCGCAGUGUGGAGCUCGGGGUAGGCCAGGCGGCUCCUCACGUCACUGCCGUGCCAGUGGCGCCUCCGAAGGUGCCCGGCCAGUCCCCAUCGGUUUACGGCAGCCGAGGGGUGGGCGGAAGAGCGGAGGCAGAGUCGGGCUUCUGGUAGAGGACGCCCCGCCCACGCACCCCCAUUGGUCCUGCCUGUCCCCGCCCUUCCCAUCAUCCCACGGCCCCGCUGCAUGUCGGGAGGAUGCGCAGCCCGUGAGGAGGCCCCGGGCCUCAGGUUAUCUUGCUGGAUGAAGAUAAUCUAGCCCAGAUUCUAAGGCUCAAGAAGCAGCAAAGCUAUAUGGUGGAAGAACCAUGAGUCUGAAUGGAUGAGCCAAGUGUUGCCCCAGUGACUCCUAGGAUCUGCAAUGGACUAUGAAUUGAACAAGAAAUAGACUUUUAUCAUUCAUUUUGGAAAUUUAUAUGCCAGUAACUAUAAAAAAAAAAGUGACUGGUUUUACAUAUCAGUUUUAUCUUCUCCUUUUAUUAGGAUUCAUGAACCCCUUUUAGAAGAUGGAAUUCCUUGCUAAAAAUUUUCUAGCCUUUAAGGCAUGAGAGAAGAAAACUCUUGAUAAAGGGUAUAUACAUACAUAUAUAUUUGACUAUAUUUAUACCUUAUAGUUGACUACAUGUAGACAUUAUAUCUGUAAACUCUAUAUAGUUAAGUGAUGAUACAUAUUAUAUAGCUUGUGUUUUGCUCUUCAUUAAAAUGAACUGUCACAAUUAUUAAUUUAUUUAUUUCAUAUAGAGAAUCAAUACUAUCUUAUUUAUUAUAUGAAAUCAACAUUUUAUAU